UACGAGGGGGGCGAGCGUUGUUCGGAAUUAUUGGGCGUAAAGGGUGCGUAGGCGGUUUGGUAAGUCUUGUGUGAAAUCUUCGGGCUUAACUCGAAGUCUGCACUGGAAACUGCCGGGCUUGAGUGUGGGAGAGGUGAGUGGAAUUCCUGGUGUAGCGGUGAAAUGCGCAGAUAUCAGGAGGAACACCGGUGGCGAAGGCGGGUCUCUGGGCAGUAACUGACGCUGAGGAGCGAAAGCGUGGGGAGCGAACAGG
rnacentral:rRNA from 1 species